UCGGGUUGUAAAGCACUUUUGUCCGGAAAGAAAACUUCUGCCCUAAUACGGUGGGAGGAUGACGGUACCGGAAGAAUAAGCACCGGCUAACUACGUGCCAGCAGCGCGGUAAUCGUAGGGUGCGAGCGUUAAUCGGAAUUACUGGGCGUAAAGCGUGCGCAGGCGGUUCGUUAAGACAGAUGUGAAAUCCCCGGGCUUAACCUGGGAACUGCAUUUGUGACUGGCGAGCUAGAGUAUGGCAGAGGGGGGUAGAAUUCCACGUGUAGCAGUGAAAUGCGUAGAGAUGUGGAGGAAUACCGAUGGCGAAGGCAGCCCCCUGGGCCAAUACUGACGCUCAUGCACGAAAGCGUGGGGAGCAAACAGGAUUAGAUACCCUGGUAGUCCACGCCCUAAACGAUGUCAACUAGUUGUUGGGUCUUCAUUGACUUAGUAACGUAGCUAACGCGUGAAGUUGACCGCCUGGGGAGUACGGUCGCAAGAUUAAAACUCAAAGGAAUUGACGGGGACCCGCACAAGCGGUGGAUGAUGGUGGAUUAAUUCGAUGCAACGCGAAAAACCUUACCUACCCUUGACAUGGUCGGAACCCUGCUG
rnacentral:rRNA from 1 species